rnacentral:sRNA from 1 species
UCAACAUUCAAGGGUGGUUCAAUUGGA